UGAAGAUCUCGGUUUUCCGGGGGCCUUCAUCUCCUGAAGAGCUGUUAGACGAGGUCUCUCAUUACUUGAAGUCGUCCAGUCCAGACGCUGCUACCCUCAUAGCUCCUCUAAAAGCUGCAUCCAUUGAUUCAUGUGACACAAUAGCGAAUGUGAAGGGAGGAAAGAAGAAAAAAGACAAGCAUUAGAAGAACAAAAGUGAUACAAUGUUGCUGGAACAUGCAUUUAACAAACCUCCAUUAUACUUAUUAAUGCGCUUCUGCAUGUGUGUUUGUAAAUGGUCUGCAAUGUAUAUACUGAUCUUUACUUAAAGGUCAUGGGUUUUCAGAAUAAAACCUUAAACAAA